CCUACGGGCGGCAGCAGUGGGGAAUAUUGGACAAUGGGCGAAAGCCUGAUCCAGCCAUGCCGCGUGUGUGAAGAAGGCCUUCGGGUUGUAAAGCACUUUCAGUGGGGAAGAAAGCCUUGGGGCUAAUACCCUCGAGGAAGGACAUCACCCACAGAAGAAGCACCGGCUAACUCCGUGCCAGCAGCCGCGGUAAUACGGAGGGUGCGAGCGUUAAUCGGAAUUACUGGGCGUAAAGCGCGCGUAGGCGGUCUGAUAAGCCGGUUGUGAAAGCCCCGGGCUCAACCUGGGAACGGCAUCCGGAACUGUCAGGCUAGAGUGCAGGAGAGGAAGGUAGAAUUCCCGGUGUAGCGGUGAAAUGCGUAGAGAUCGGGAGGAAUACCAGAGGCGAAGGCGGCCUUCUGGACUGACACUGACGCUGAGGUGCGAAAGCGUGGGUAGCAAACAGGAUUAGAUACCCGAGUAGUC
rnacentral:rRNA from 1 species